GGGAAUGUAGCUCAGUGGUAGAGCACUUGCCUAGCAUGCACACAGCCCUGGGUUCAAUCCCCAGUAUCA
rnacentral:tRNA from 1 species